rnacentral:rRNA from 1 species
AGCUUGCUCUCGGGUGACGAGUGGCGGACGGGUGAGUAAUGUCUGGGAAACUGCCUGAUGGAGGGGGAUAACUACUGGAAACGGUAGCUAAUACCGCAUAACGUCGCAAGACCAAAGAGGGGGACCUUCGGGCCUCUUGCCAUCAGAUGUGCCCAGAUGGGAUUAGCUAGUAGGCGGGGUAAUGGCCCACCUAGGCGACGAUCCCUAGCUGGUCUGAGAGGAUGACCAGCCACACUGGAACUGAGACACGGUCCAGACUCCUACGGGAGGCAGCAGUGGGGAAUAUUGCACAAUGGGCGCAAGCCUGAUGCAGCCAUGCCGCGUGUGUGAAGAAGGCCUUCGGGUUGUAAAGCACUUUCAGCGGGGAGGAAGGCGGUACGGUUAAUAACCGUGCUGAUUGACGUUACCCGCAGAAGAAGCACCGGCUAACUCCGUGCCAGCAGCCGCGGUAAUACGGAGGGUGCAAGCGUUAAUCGGAAUUACUGGGCGUAAAGCGCACGCAGGCGGUCUGUCAAGUCGGAUGUGAAAUCCCCGGGCUCAACCUGGGAACUGC